rnacentral:rRNA from 1 species
UACGGGGGGAGCAAGCGUUGUUCGGAUUUACUGGGCGUAAAGGGCGCGUAGGCGGCCACCGCAAGUCAGUUGUGAAAUCUCUGGGCUUAACCCAGAAAGGUCAACUGAUACUGCGGGGCUAGAGUGCAGAAGGGGCAACUGGAAUUCUCGGUGUAGCGGUGAAAUGCAUAGAUAUCGAGAGGAACACCUGCGGCGAAGGCGGGUUGCUGGGCUGACACUGACGCUGAGGCGCGAAAGCUAGGGGAGCGAACGGG